GGAAGUUAUUUCCUUCAAACAUUAGAUUCUAAAGUAGGCGAUUAUCGACUAGUGUUACAUGACACUUUUAUAAUCAAAUGUUAACAUAAGUUUUCUCUUUUAUAUAUAUAUAUAUUCAAAGGUAUAUAUUUAAUACGGAUGUUAUUGGCGUAUAUGUGCAUUAGUUUCAUAUUUCUUUGAAAAACAUUUUGUUGAUAUUUACGUUCAUAACAGUUACUGAAAGUAAGGAAAAUCUGGUUUUUGUUAGGAAGUCAAGAGAAAGCGACUCAAGAAAUUUUCAACUUAUUUUUUCAAGAAGAAAACCAUUUGCAGCACCAGAGAUGUAUCCUUCAAGGCAAAGACACACUGCGUGGACAGAGAAUUGCAACAACGGUCUUGUGCAAAGGAGUUUUAGGCAUCAAGAGGCUUAUCAACUUCACGACCCGUAUGAAUCUGAAUAUGGAGCAAGG